rnacentral:lncRNA from 1 species
CCUUGGGUGGAAGCGAUAGCUUUCAAUUAUUGAGCGCAUCCGUUGUCAGGCUGUGCGCUACGGUCCUGCAGACGCCUGGCAUCUGAUUGCCAAGAUGGUCUCACUGGGGGACCCGCUAACAUUUGCAAUCCCGGUUUACACUUGGGUGAGUGAUUCAGAGAAAGCCAGUAACCGCAACUACCAGGGGAUAGAGCUGCAUCCCACUUGGGUCUGAUCCUCCUAGGCUUUGUACUCAUGGUCCUGGGCCGUUACAGACCUAGAGAGUGUCCGAGUUGGAAGAAGGGCUGAGCCCCAGCCCCCAGCACUUCAGGACACUUCACAGGAACAGACAUUUACCCGUAAAGGUUACCAAUCAGUGGCUUCCUCUGGCUGGAGCUGAAGUGCUGGUCACUGGAAGUGGCAACCCUGGGAGUCUCAUGCUGGUUGAAGUAGCCCUGGUGGGCAGUUAAAGAUGUGCCAAAUAAAGCAGAGAACAAGUUAGCCCCUGACCUUGCUCCUUCCAGAGCAAGGAGUCAGGCUGGUGAACUAGGGGAUGGGAGGGCUGUGUCCCCGGGAUGGGGUGCAAUGCUUAGGUCUGAGAGUGGAGCAGGAGGACGAGUUCCACCCCCCUCUCCCUUAUCUGCUCAGAAAGGGAGUGGUGAGGGUGGGGACCUUGAAUGUAGCUCCAGAGAGUUGGGGAGAACGAGGGAGGCAAACAGCAACCUGCACAUCUCAGCCCAUCCCUCGGGAAGUAGACCCCUGGUUACUCUGCCCUCCCAGAAGGAGCUGAGCUCAGGGACAUGCUCAGGCCCACACAGCAGCAGAGUUGAGUUGGCUAGAUCCAAAUCAGGACCUGAAACCAGUCCCCAG